rnacentral:rRNA from 1 species
CCCCUAGUACUGCGAGUGAAGCGGGACAAGCUCAAAUUUUGAAUCUGGCGGUCAUUAGGUCGUCCGAGUUGUAAUCUAGAGAAGCGUCUUCCGCGCUGGACCGUGUACAAGUCUCCUGGAAGGGAGCGUCAUAGAGGGUGAGAAUCCCGUCUUUGACACGGACUACCAGUGCUAUGUGAUGCGCUCUCGACGAGUCGAGUUGUUUGGGAAUGCAGCUCAAAAUGGGUGGUAAAUUCCAUCUAAAGCUAAAUACAGGCGAGAGACCGAUAGCGAACAAGUACCGUGAGGGAAAGAUGAAAAGAACUUUGGAAAGAGAGUUAAACAGUACGUGAAAUUGCUGAAAGGGAAACGCUUGAUGUCAGUCACGUCCGCCGGGGAUCAACCUUGCUUUAAUUUGCUGGGUGCAUUUCUUGGUUGGACGGGGUCAGCAUCAUUUUCAAUCGUCUUAAAAUGUCCAAGGGAACGUGGCACCUCUAGGGGUGUGUUAUACCCUUUGAUCGUAUGCUUCGGUGGGGACUGAGGAACUCGGCACAAUCCUUCAAGGGUUUGUGUCUAGGAUGCUGGCUUAAUGGCCUUAACCAACCCGCCUUGAAACACGGACCAAGGAUUCUACCAUGCCUGCAAUUGUUUGGUUGAAAAACUCAAGCGCGUAAUGAAAUUGAAAGUCAAGAUCUCGGUCUUGAAAAGCAUCAACGCCCGGACCCAAUUCUUUGACAAAGGAUCUGCGGUAAAGCAUGUAUGUUGGGACCCGA